UUAAAGUGGCACUGUCAUGCCGAACUUACCUUUCCUCAAUCUCUUCCUCUUCUCCCCCUCUCUCUGGAUCUGUUAUUCUUUUCUUCCUGUCUUCUUUAGUUUUCUUUAAAAUCAUAAGACAAAGUAGUGACUCUUUGCCUUAUGGAGGAUUCCUCCGCUUGACCAGCUCUGACCAGCGGAGGAGCAAAGUGUGCUUCAUUUCCGCUGGUCAGAGCAAUUUUCCCAUGAUCCUUACCUUUCCUCUGUGUUCCCGCGAUGCUUCCUGUCACUUUACACGAAACUGCCG
rnacentral:lncRNA from 1 species